rnacentral:tRNA from 1 species
UAUGUUGUUGACUAACCGGUAAGUCAUAAAUUUUUGGUAUUUACUAUUGGGUGUUCGAGUCGCCCCAACAUAA